ensembl:lncRNA LINC02664 long intergenic non-protein coding RNA 2664
GGCUGAGCAUGGCUGUCAUUUCUGGAGUCUUUCUGCUGAGGCCAUUUCUCCUGUGACCAUGGGCUAAAGGGCACAGCCGCGUGCCCCCACAGCUGCUUCUGAAUUCUGAGCACAGGCCAGAGGAGGGGAAGGGCCGGAUGUUUGCAGAAGCAGAGCCGACCCUUGGGUAAAAAUGGGAAAACAAAAAGUGGUCAGGAUGGAUUCCAGAGUAGUUGGAGUUAUAGGGAAAUCUUCACUGCCAAUGUUCUCUAGAUCCUCAGCACUACGCCCUGGCCAGCCCCGAAGUCGUGGAGCCCCCCUCCUGCCCUGGGCUGGCCACCUCUCUCACUGGAUGAGUGAUGUGCUCUGGCUCAAAGGCUGAGGGGGCAGGUGGAGGAUGCCUGCCGCGGAACGUGGGUGCUCCCUCCAUCAGAAUCUUCUCACUGGGAGAGGAUCUGCGGCCGUCACCUGCAGCCCCGGUCCUGGCAGAGCUUUUGGAGAAAAUGAUGCAGAGUCUUGCUAUGUUGCCCAGACUGAUCUUGGACCCCUGAUCUCAAGCGAUCCUCCCACCUUGGCCUUCCAAAGUGCUGGUAUUAUAGGCAUGAGCCACUACACUUGGACCCAAACAGGUCUUCGCUGAAACAUGGGCACUCGUGGGAAGUGCUUUCUGUUCCCCAGGCUCAGAGACAGGUCUCCCUAUGGUGUUGCCCAGGCUGGUCUUGAACUCCUAGCCUCAAGUGAUCCUCCUGCUUCAGCCUGCCAAAGUGCUGGAUUACAGGUGUAAGCCACCUCUGGACAUCUUAUCUGUGAAAUUUUAGGCAUUGAUCAGUGCAGAAAGAACCAUGAACUGCAGGAUGUUCUCAGAGACUCUGACAUUAUGGCCCACAAGAAGCUGCCCACUCAGCUUCUAGUCAGUUAGGUGUGGACUUCAUCAAUCACAGAAUGAAGACUCAGACAGCCUCCCAGGAGGACACAAAGUCAGCCUCAGAGAGGCAUGGAGGUGUUAAAGAGGGAAGUGCCUGCUAGAAUUUCAGUGGGUUGGAUAUGCUCUUUAACGAUGCACAAAUCAUAGGUAUACAUUUUCUGACAAUUGGAAUCUAUUAUUACUCUUGAACCAGCUGUUCCCCAGGCUGUUUCCUGUAAUGGAAGGGAUACUUUGAGUUUAUAUCUUUUCAAUCCUACAUCCUCAGAAAUCUACACUGAUACUAAUAAAGGGACUCAUUUCUCCUAUAAGAACCCCUAUGCGAGAAAAGUAUGUUUGGGUAUUGCCUAAUGCACUCAUAAUAAAUAUACACAGCCAUAAAACAGAGUAAAA